UUCUUUAUUGCGAUGACAUGGUCUGUCAACAAAUUACAGUACAAACAGUAAGAGCACAAAUGUGAAUCUUGUCCAGUCUCUUGCAAUAAAUCUCCCACAUACACUAAGGUGUAACUUACAAUUUACAAUAAUUGUCAU